rnacentral:ncRNA from 1 species
CACGGUUGCCACGGGAGUCCGGUGAGCCGGGCUGAGAGGCGGGGUCACCCGCGACCGUUCGCACCUGACCGGAUCAUGCCGGCGACGGGAGGGCUUCCCUCCGCGUCG